rnacentral:lncRNA from 1 species
AGAAAUGAAAAAAAAAAAGAGAUAGAAAAGAAACAGAAUGAAACGAAACAGGGAGCAAGGAAGGAAAGAAAAGAAAGAAAGGGAGAAAAGGGAAAUUUUAGAUUUCAAGGUUUGAAAGUUUAAUUGGUAAGCUAAUUUAACCAUUUUUAUUUAAUUUUGAUGUUUUAGAAGCUUUGGAACAAGAUUUUGAUGAAAUUAAGUUGAUAUUUUGAAAUUUAUUAGAUUUCUAGAUAAUGUUCAUGUUGAGUAAAAUGAUGAAUUAAGGGCUAAAUUGAUAGAAAUUCAAGUUAGAAAUGAAAUAAGGAUUGAAUUGUAAAGUGAUUCAUAAGUUUUAUGCUUUAAGGACUAAAUUGAAAGAAUUUUGAAAUUAUGGUCUUAUGAUGAAAAAUAGAUAAUUAUGUCUAAGUUUGGUUAAAAAUUGAGUAGAAAUAAAGUAUGAAUUAAGAUAGAAAAGUAAGUGAAUUUAGUUAGGAUUAAAUUGAAAUUAAAAGUAGAAAAUCAACAUUUUGCACUAAGACUAUUUUGGACAGCAGCAGUAGUCUAAGUUUGAAAAAUCACCAAAAAUUUUAGAAAUUUAAUUAGAGAAUGAAUAAAAUAUGGAAUUAAAUCUUAUUGAGUCUAGUUUUUUUAUAGAAGAAACGGUAUAAGUAAUUGAAUUGUAAAUUAUGAGAUAUAAUGAAUUUUGUGAGACAAGGUCAGAAUGAAUUUGGGUUCCCCUGUUCUGAGUUUGGAAAAUCACAAAAAAUUGGAGAAAAAAAAUUAGAGGCUUAAAGUUAUAUUUUUAGAAUCCCUAAUGAGUCUAUUUUCAGCAGAAAUCAACGGGAAUAUCAUCCGAGUUCUUUACUAUGAGAUAAUUAAUUUUUAGUGAAGAAUGGUCGAAACUGUCGACAGCAGAAUAGGGGUGAAUUUAAAGAAUAAAUUGUACUUAAUGGCUAAACGAAAAAUUCUAAAAAUUUUAUGGUAAAAAGAUUUGUGAGUCUAGUUUCAGGAGAAAUUAGCGGAUCUUAAUUUAGAAUUCUGUAACUCAAGAUAUAAAUUAGUAAUGUAUUAAUGAUUAUGAAUUGUAUUACUUUCGUAGUCAAUGUGGUAUCGGAAAUCUCGGCUAAGAAAGGACAAGACAAAGUCAACAGGAGUUAGCUCAGAAACUACGGUUUGUAUUUCUAUAUCCGAACUUAAUACUUAAAUUGUUGGAUUUAUUAUUUAAUAUAUAUAUGUAGUAGGUGUUUUGAGAUGAUUAUUUGAAUUGGAUUGAAUAUUGAUUAUAUUGAAUUGAUUUAUGAAUAUAUAUAUGAAUGUUUGAAUUGAAAUGAAUAUUGAUGUGGAAAUUGAAUAAUAAAUAUUUUUUAUAUUGGAAAAUAUAUGUAGUUCGAAGUGUGAUGAAAUUGAUAGAAAAUUGUGAUUAUUGUGAAAUUAAAUAUUUAUUAGUGAAAAGUGAAUGGAAUUAGAAUUAUAUUGAAUUGAAAAUAUAUAGUUAAUUAAUUAAAAUAUGAAUUAAUUGAAAACUGAAAAAUGAAUUAAAUACCCUAUUAACUAGUCGGACUAGUCGGAUAUAGUUGGUAUGCCAUAGGAUAUGGAAGAGUACGGGUUUUGCUGGCUUACUAAUCAGGCACUUAUGUAUCGACUACUAUUACUGUUACCGUUACUGUUACCGAUUCAGCACUUUGUGUGUCGGAUAUUGUUAUUGUUACCGUUACUGUUACUGUUUCGGAUUUGUUCCGAUGAGGUACUCUGUGUACCGUAUUGCUACUGUUACUGCUACUAUUCCGGCUUCGACCGAUGAGGCACUAUGUGCCGUACUGGUGUGUUGGUUAGAUCCGUGUAUCCGUCUGAGUCCGAGUCAUGUUAAUAGAGGUAAAUAAAGGUAUAAAAUAACUGAUUAUUACUGAAUAAUUAACUGUUAUUGGAUAAUUGACUGUUACUGGAUAUUAGACUGUUACUGAAUAACUGAAUAUUACUGAAUAAUUGAUCAUUACUGAAUAACUGAUUGUCACUGAAUGAAUGACUGUUAUUGAAUAACUUAAUUGUUACUGAAUACCUGAUUUUACUGAAUAAUUUACUAUUACUGGAUAACCGAUCAAUUGAUCGAUACUGAAUAACUGGUUAUUAUCGAAUAAUUGAUUGUUACCGAAUAACUGACUGUUAUUGAAUAAAUAAUUGUUCUAAUUGUUAAUGAACAUUACUAAUUGAUUAAUUGCUAUUGAAAUUAAUAAAUGAUUUGAAAUUUAAAGUAAACCAAAACAUUGGUUGGAAAGUGAAUGUUUGAAUACUCAUUGAGUUUGAAUAAUUCGAUAUAUAUAUAUAAAAUAAUAAGUUUUAUAAUUGCUUAAGUGUUCAGAUUAUAGAAAUACCACUGAGUGUAUACUCAGCAUAUGGUUUGUUUCCGUGCGCAGGUUAAGUUAAGGCUAGACUGUUGAAUCAGCAUCCCAGGCCGAUCCCAAAUUCAUUGAGGUAAAGUAUGUUGAGUAUUGAUAAUGGCAUGUACCUAGGAUGUUUAAUGAGAGUCAUUUAGGUCGUAAAAGUAUUGAUGAAAUAAGUAAAUUAUUGUUGGCAACGGUAUAUAGUAUGAAUUUUGAAAUUUAUUAAAAAUUCGUAGUGAUUCUAAAUUAGUUCCAAAUUGAAUUUACUGUUCAUAUUGGACCACGAGGGCCCAUUAAAGGGACAACAUCUUAAAACUAGGAUGAGUGUGAAUAUUUAUUUUAAUUAAUGACCGGAAUUGGACUGUACUGACUGGUAAUGUCUCGUAACUUUGUUCCGGCGACGGUAUAGGGUUAGGGGACGUUACACUUUCAAAAAUUAAAACAUAUAAGAUUUCAAAUAAAAAAAUAAAGGCUAUCUAAUUCUCAAAGGGAUAAGAUGUCGUGUCCUAAUUUACGGG